GAUGAACGCUGGCGGCGUGCCUAAUACAUGCAAGUCGAGCGAACAGACGAGGAGCUUGCUCCUCUGACGUUAGCGGCGGACGGGUGAGUAACACGUGGAUAACCUACCUAUAAGACUGGGAUAACUUCGGGAAACCGGAGCUAAUACCGGAUAAUAUAUUGAACCGCAUGGUUCAAUAGUGAAAGACGGUUUUGCUGUCACUUAUAGAUGGAUCCGCGCCGCAUUAGCUAGUUGGUAAGGUAACGGCUUACCAAGGCAACGAUGCGUAGACGAACUGAGAGGGUGAUCGGCCACACUGGAACUGAGACACGGUCCAGACUCCUACGGGAGGCAGCAGUAGGGAAUCUUCCGCAAAGGGCGAAAGCCUGACGGAGCAACGCCGCGUGAGUGAUGAAGGUCUUCGGAGCGUAAAACUCUGUUAUUAGGGAAGAACAAAUGUGUAAGUAACUAUGCACGUCUUGACGGUACCUAAUCAGAAAGCCACGGCUAACUACGUG
rnacentral:rRNA from 1 species